rnacentral:rRNA from 1 species
GACGUAGGGCGCGAGCGUUGUCCGGAUUUAUUGGGCGUAAAGAGCUCGUCGGCGGCUUGUCGCGUCGUCCGUGAAAACCUGCGGCUCAACUGCAGGCUGGCGGUCGAUACGGGCAGGCUGGAGUUCGGUAGGGGAGACUGGAAUUCCUGGUGUAGCGGUGAAAUGCGCAGAUAUCAGGAGGAACACCGGUGGCGAAGGCGGCUUCCUGGACCGACACUGACGCUGAGGCGCGAAAGCUAGGGGAGCAAACGGG